AGUGAACGCUGGCGGUAGGCCUAACACAUGCAAGUCGAACGGCAGCACAGUAAGAGCUUGCUCUUACGGGUGGCGAGUGGCGGACGGGUGAGGAAUACAUCGGAAUCUACUUUUUCGUGGGGGAUAACGUAGGGAAACUUACGCUAAUACCGCAUACGACCUACGGGUGAAAGCAGGGGAUCUUCGGACCUUGCGCGAUUGAAUGAGCCGAUGUCGGAUUAGCUAGUUGGCGGGGUAAAGGCCCACCAAGGCGACGAUCCGUAGCUGGUCUGAGAGGAUGAUCAGCCACACUGGAACGGAGACACGGUCCAGACUCCUACGGGAGGCAGCAGUGGGGAAUAUUGGACAAUGGGCGCAAGCCUGAUCCAGCCAUACCGCGUGGGUGAAGAAGGCCUUCGGGUUGUAAAGCCUUUUUGUUGGGAAAGAAAAGCAGCAGGUUAAUACCCCGCUGUUCUGACGGUACCCAAAGAAUAAGCACCGGCUAACUUCGUG
rnacentral:rRNA from 1 species